rnacentral:rRNA from 1 species
AUUGAACGCUGGCGGCAGGCUUAACACAUGCAAGUCGAGCGAGCGGCGGACGGGUGAGUAAUGUAUGGGAAACUGCCUGAUGGAGGGGGAUAACUACUGGAAACGGUAGCUCAUACAGCAUACCAUCGGAUGUGCCCAGAUGGUAUUAGCUAGUAGGUGGGGUAAAGGCUCACCUAGGCGACGAUCCCUAGCUGGUCUGAGAGGAUGACCGACCACACGGGAUCUGAUACACGGGCCAGAGUCCUACGGGAGGCAGAAGUGUGGAAUAUUGCACAAUGGGCGCAAGCCUGAGGCAGCCAUGCGGCGUGAAUGAAGAAGGCCUUCGGGUUGUAAAGUACUGUCAGCUGGGAGGCGUUACCCGCAGAAGAAGCACCGGCUAACUCCGUGCCAGGAGCCGCAGUAGUAG